rnacentral:rRNA from 1 species
CCCAGGUCAGGCGGGGCUACCCGCUGAAUUUAAGCAUAUCAAUAAGCGGA